GUGGGCGGAGGAGGAGGCUGCAGGGGAGGGGGCUGGUCAGCGGCAUCUGGCUACACACCUGCUCCCGCUUAACCCUGUGCGCGCUGGGGCAGGGCGAGCGGCGCGCGGUGGGGGUGGGGGCUGGCAGCCGGAGCCAGGGGUGACCGGGGCUGCGGACUGCCAGCCUCCCGGGCCCCGGGCCAGGCCUGGCGGUCUCGGAGCGAACAGGAAUGGGGCUCCUUAGCAGGGAUCUGUCGAGGGGCACACCAGGGAUAGCACUAUCCAGCUCCCGUGGUGGUGCCCCUCAACCUGCACUGGCCCCUUAGGGCUCCCUGGUCGGCCUCCUGUGAGCCAGCACGGCUCCAGCGGUAGAGGGAAGGCGAGGGGUGGCUCCCGGCCUCGGCGCGGACUCCCCGUCGCCCUCAGGCCGUUCCGGGAAGCCGGCCUUCCGGAGGCGGCGCGGCGGCCACGACCAUGCCAAGGGCGCGGGGUGCGGGCCAGGCUUAGCGGGCGGCCGCCAGGCGAGGAAGCUAGCGCUGGGCGCGCCCUCGCGCACUAAACGCUUCCAGGCUGGCCCUGCAGGGUUAAAGCCCCUGGAAGGGGCUGGGCUAAAACCAGAAGAGAAAAGCAGAGGGACGGAUGUGUUCUCAGACUCUGGGAGUUGCUCAAACCGGGCCUCUGCUCCUGUGAUCACCCAGCUAAGAGGGGAGUGUUAUUCAGAUAAUUCCCCCAAACGCUUUCCCUUGCAGAUCAGUGCCUGUACUCUACUGGAGCAAACUGAGGCCCAGAGAGGGGAAGAGACUUGCUGAAGGUCACACAGCAACUUUGUGCUGAAGCCCAGGCUAG
rnacentral:lncRNA from 1 species